rnacentral:rRNA from 1 species
UACAGAGGUCUCAACCGUUGUUCGGAUUCAUUGGGCGUAAAGCGCGUGUAGGUGGCGAGGCAAGUCGGGUGUGAAAGCCCUGGGCUCAACCCAGGAAGUGCACUCGAUACUGCCUAGCUAGAGUCCCGGAGAGGUUGGUGGAACUCUCGGUGUAGAGGUGAAAUUCGUAGAUAUCGAGAAGAACACCGGUGGCGAAGGCGGCCAACUGGACGGUGACUGACACUGAGACGCGAAAGCGUGGGGAGCAAACAGG